rnacentral:rRNA from 1 species
UACGGAAGGCAGCAGUGGGGAAUAUUGCACAAUGGGCGAAAGCCUGAUGCAGCUAUGCCGCGUGUAUGAAGAAGGCCUUAGGGUUGUAAAGUACUUUCAUCGGGGAGGAAAAAACAAAACUAAUAAUUUUAUUUCUUGACGUUACCCGAAAAAGAAGCACCGGCUAACUCCGUGCUAGCAGCCGCGGUAAUACGGAGGGUGCUAGCGUUAAUCAGAAUUACUGGGCGUAAAGAGCACGUAGGUGGUUUUUUUAAAGUCAGAUGUGAAAUCCCUGGGCUUAACCUAGGAACUGCAUUUUGAAACUGAAAUACUAGAGUAUCGUAGAGGGAGGUAGAAUUCUAGGUGUAGCGGUGAAAUGCGUAGAUAUCUGGAGGAAUACCUGUGGCGAAAGCGGCCUCCUAAACGAAUACUGACACUGAGGUGCGAAAGCGUGGGGAGCAAACAGGGAUUAGAUACC